GUGGGGAAUCUUCCGCAAUGGACGAAAGUCUGACGGAGCAACGCCGCGUGAGUGAAGAAGGUUUUCGGAUCGUAAAGCUCUUUCGUUAGGGACGAACGUGCUCUUUGUGAAUAAUGAGGAGUAAUGACGGUACCUAAAUAAGAAGCCACGGCUAACUACGUGCCAGCAGCCGCGGUAAUACGUAGGUGGCAAGCGUUGUCCGGAAUUAUUGGGCGUAAAGCGCGCGCAGGCGGGAUAUCAAGUCUGUCUUAAAAGUGCGAGGCUCAACCUCGUGAGGGGACAGAAACUGGUAUUCUUGAGUGUCAGAGAGGAAAGUGGAAUUCCAAGUGUAGCGGUGAAAUGCGUAGAGAUUUGGAAGAACACCAGUGGCGAAGGCGACUUUCUGGACGAUGUCUGACGCUGAGGCGCGAAAGCUAGGGGAGCGAACGGGAUUAGAUACCCCUGUAGUCC
rnacentral:rRNA from 1 species